AAAAGCUCAAAUUUGAAAUCUGGCUCUUUCAGGGUCCGAGUUGUAAUUUGUAGAAGAUGCUUUGGGUGUGGCUCCGGUCUAAGUUCCUUGGAACAGGACGUCAUAGAGGGUGAGAAUCCCGUAUGUGAUCGGUGGCCUUCGCCCGUGUAAAGCUCUUUCGACGAGUCGAGUUGUUUGGGAAUGCAGCUCAAAAUGGGUGGUAUAUUUCAUCUAAAGCUAAAUAUUGGCCAGAGACCGAUAGCGCACAAGUAGAGUGAUCGAAAGAUGAAAAGCACUUUGGAAAGAGAGUUAAACAGUACGUGAAAUUGUUGAAAGGGAAGCGCUUGCAAUCAGACUUGCAUGUAGUUGAUCAUCUAGUGUUCUCACUGGUGCACUCUGCUAUAUUCAGGCCAGCAUCGGUUUCGGUGGUUGGAUAAAGGCCUUGGGAACGUAGCUCCUCUCGGGGAGUGUUAUAGCCCUCGGUGCAAUGCAGCCUACCGGGACCGAGGACCGCGCUUCGGCUAGGAUGCUGGCGUAAUGGUUGUAAGCGACCCGUCUUGAAACACGGACCAAGGAGUCUAACAUCUAUGCGAGUGUUUGGGUGUUAAACCCAUACGCGUAAUGAAAGUGAACGGAGGUGAGAACCCUUUAGGGUGCAUCAUCGACCGAUCCUGAUGUCUUCGGAUGGAUUUGAGUAAGAGCAUAGCUGUUGGGACCCGAAAGAUGGUGAACUAUGCGUGAAUAGGGUGAAGCCAGAGGAAACUCUGGUGGAGGCUCGCAGCGGUUCUGACGUGCAAAUCGAUCGUCAAAUUUGCGCAUAGGGGCGAAAGACUAAUCGAACCAUCUAGUAGCUGGUCUGC
rnacentral:rRNA from 1 species